rnacentral:rRNA from 1 species
UACGGAGGGUGCAAGCGUUGUCCGGAUUUAUUGGGUGUAAAGGGUGCGUAGGCGGGACGGUAAGUCCGAGGUGAAAGCCCGCAGCUUAACUGCGGAACUGCCUUGGAUACUGCCGACCUUGAGUCCCGGAGGGGUGGCUGGAAUUCCUGGUGUAGCGGUGAAAUGCGUAGAUAUCAGGAGGAACACCGGUGGCGAAGGCGGUUCUCUGGGCAUUACCUGACGCUGAGGAGCGAAAGCAUGGGGAGCGAACAGG